UGUUCUCUCUCCCUUAUCCCUUCGUAUCUCUCUCUUCACCACCGCAGCUCCUCCACAAACUCCUCCUUCCCUCCCCUACAGGCUACAGCUCCUCCCCACGGCAGCUCCUCCACUCCCCGCGGUGGCACAGCCAGGCAGCGGCGAGGCCUGACUGCAGCGGCGGCUCCGGUCUGCCCCCUUCCCUCUCCCCUAUUUCCUUAGCCUCGUGGUGGGGCUGCAGCAGCGGCGGGCGGCGCACGGGGCGGCAGCAGAGGCGAGCGGUGGCUGGCGACGGGCGGGCCAAGCAGCAUCGAUGAACAAGGCGGCGCGCGCGGCAAGCAGCUGCAGCGGCGGCGGGCUGCGGGCUUGGCGAGCGGAUACGGCGCGCGCGGCGGGCUAGGCGAGGAGCAGAAGCAACGCGGGGCAGCAGGCGGGGAGCGGCUGCAGCGGCGCGCGGCGCGUGCGGGCGGCAGGCGGGAGCAGCAGCCAGCGGCACGUACGGGGCAGCAGACGGCGCGCCGCGAGCAGCGGCCAGCGGCGCUCCCUCCUCUAUCCCCUCUUUGUGGCGGGGCGAGGCAGCGGCGGUGCAGGUCCGGCGGCGAACGGCGGGUAGCGCAGGGUAGGUUCGGCGGCGCCUGUGGGCGAGCAGCGGUCGCGACGGGGCAGCAGCAGGCGGGUGGAUGCUGACUUUUUUUUUUUUGUUUUUACCGAUCUUUGCCGGAGGCAGGCAUUCGGCAAAGCAACUGGCCCCGUGGUUAUUCCGUCUCUCUUCCGUCUAUACGAAGUUUGCACUUUUGUUUGUCGGAGGCCAGAAAAAGGCCACGACAAAGGCUUUGCCGAAGGAAAAAAAAAGACCGCCGGCAAAGAGGCUUUACCGGUAUGCGGUCCCGUGUCGGGAGCAUUUGUGUCUUUGCUGGAGGCCGGCAAAGUGAGUUUUCCCGGCAGUGAUGUGUGUUCCCGGCCGUUAGGCAGAGCCAGAGGCAACCAUCGCGACCUGUCGGUCUUUAGUCUCGCUGCAAGGAAGAUAACUAGCGCGCGAGUUGUACCGUGUGGGAUUUGGAGGCUUCGGGAAUUUUUGCGUUGACAUGCGUGUUCCCGUUAGGCAGAGCCAGAGGCAACCAUCCAGCUUGCGCCGAAAAUAUCAAACUGCCGCGGAAUUUCCUUGUACGAUUGGGCACCCAUGAACCAGUGAGUUGGUUCUUAAGCAGUUCAAAUAGAGCCAAUGAACCACAUGUAAGUGCAGACCAGCUCCCAUGACACAUGUUAUUGCUUACUGGCCAGAGACCAUGCCAAAAAGGAAACUUAAGGCUGCAGUGCAAAAACAAAUUGAGCUUUUCUACCGUAUCCUAAUAGUAGUAUAGUAUAAAUGUUAUCCAGCCGUUGAUUCACGGGCCUUUUUGAUACUUUCUGUUGUUUUUUCCACAUCUCGGCGGUAUAAGGGUAAUUUUACACAGUACAUGGUUUGCAAAUGCCCAUCGGACCAAGGACCAGCAGUAACCCCGCCACGGCCGCCAUGCUCACCCUCACGAUGUGCUUCUCUGGGGCCGCCGCUUCUCUGCCAUGUCUGGCCACAACAGCGCUUGCGUUUUCGACGGACGCCGCCGUGCGCGCUGUUACAAUCGAGUUAGUUACUCUUGGCCCCUUUGGUAUGUAUUCAGCCGCAUGCUCUGGUCUGGCUGUUAGCUAUACGCAUAAUGUCGAUGGCCGCCGGCGACGUCCAACUCCUCACUGCGUAUGUCUGAACGGGGCGGCAGAAGCCACAUAAUUGCUUCUCUCCUUGUAGCGAAAGCGUGAAGGCAUUCGAAUUCUUAACCUUAGUUAAUUUGCCAAAUUGAUUAAUCCAUGAGCCGUGGAGCCGUGAAGGUAUUGGAUGGUGCUCAGCUGCUUCUAUUGCCUAACACAAAUACCAAUAACAAGUUCAGGUUGGACAGAGAAACUGCUGUGUUUAGGUAAGGCCUAGUAGUGUUCAGGAACGUGUGUGAUGCUCCCCUCACAUGUUUUCCCAUCUCAUUUUCAGAGUCAUGGCUUUACCGGGAAAACAAAAAUGGAAUCAAGAGCCUGCAUCCAGAGCGAGAAUCUUAGAGCAAAUAUUGUGUAGUUUCGUCACGAACAGAGCCAUGGAUAUCAGGAUAUGGUAGGCCAGUUUGGAGAAAAAACAAGCCAAACGAAGUUAAUUAAGUUGGUUCACAAUAAACUGUGCCAGCUCCAUUUUCAUGGCGCACAGUCAGCACGAGCCAUACUUCGUGGAGGUUUGCAUAUGUCCGCUUUCAGAUCGAACAUUUUUUGGAGCAUAUGUUCAGUUUCGAACAUUUGGAAGGAGAGAAAUGGAUUUAUCUUUGAGGCCAAAGUUCCUUGUUUGUCUAGAUGGGUUGUCUCCUUGAAUAGUGGUAUUCAGCUCGUAUCUAUUGGGUUAGAAUCAGGUUGGAAAGCCUCUCUUAGAGGUCUCCACGUCUUAUUUUUUGAAGAACAGCUUUUGCGUCUCGGUGCUAUGUGGUACAAGUAUUGAUCUCCGCCGAGAAAGCAACAAUACAUGCAUGGGGAUUUGAGAGAAACAAGUCAUUAUUCUCUUCGGAACAAGGCAAAAGCAGAGUAUCAAGGUUUUUUAGAGUCCGACAUAAUAAAUGGUCCAGGACUUAACGGUCAUAAUUGCAUUUUGUUGCAUGUAUUCAUUAAGCUUCAAUUUCCUGAUUUGUAAUAAAUGAUGUAAUAAAUUUAGGUUGCAUGCAUGUAGUACUCAGUAAGCUUCAAUUUCUUUUCUUUUUUGUAUUUUGUACAUUAAAAGGAGAGUGGAUCCAGUACCUCUCAUGACUCAUGAUGUAAUAAAUAAGGUGCAUGGAAA